rnacentral:tRNA from 1 species
GUCCCCGUAGCUCAGUUGGAUAGAGCGGCUGCCUCCUAAGCAGCAGGUCGUACGUUCAAAUCGUAUCGGGGACACCA